AAGAAAAAAACAACGAGAAACAAGAAGUGGAAGAGCGACUGACUGCUCGGAGUCGGAGCUCAUUUACGAUGCUUACAGAGUGGAUUAUGGUGGGGAACCCAGAGUCUCAGGCUGCAGCAUGAGCCCAUUCCUAAACACCGCUGUCUGAAAUCCUUGUUUACUCAUCACUGAGAAACAGUUCCUGUCAAUAACCGUCCAUGUCAGAUCGUGGCUCAUCCAGAGAGGGCCUCAUUCGUCCUCCGUGGUUUGUUUAGAGCCGACAGCUAGAAAUCAGAGGCCCAUAUUUCUCUUUCUGCUCUGCACGUUGGGGAAGGGCUGAGACUAUAAGACAGAAACGGUUUGCCGACUGUCGUCCUCGUUCCGGCAGAUUGCCACGGCCACUAUUCUUGAGGCCUGUUUUGCGUGGGGUGGUGACGAGAGCGAUGGGUUGGUGGUUGAGAAGCAAAGAGUGAGAGGCGAGAUUUUGCCGCAGCACCCGCGGAAUGAGAAAUGACACGGUUUCCCCCCCCCAAAACGUGGCGCCUCAUCGGGCUGUUACGGAUUAGUUAAGGCUGUUAUUCUAAUCUGCGCCCCUUUUUUCUUUGCCGCCUCAUUACGGAGCGGAGAUGCCAAGGCCUCAUGGCGAGAGUAAUCUGUUAAGAGUGGUGAGGGGUACAGAUGAUGGAAGCCAGAGCUGAUCCGACGGGGGCUGGAGGAAGCCGAGCUCCAACCGUUUGUGGUGUAAGGACUUAAAUCCAAUCACCGAACACGUUUGACCAUGGACACCGAGAAAUAGGAAGACAGCUGAACAAGGACGCGCGUCUUUGAUGUCAGACACAUGGAAAUAUGAUGCAAAAGAGGAGCAUUCAGCAUUGUGUGUUCCACUGCAUAAGCUACUCGGCUUGUCAGUCACAGGCAGAGACUGAAAAUGAGCUCCCCAUUCGUCUUAGCCUUCAACGUGCACGAAAAUAUUCACACCCCGGGAGCUUUUCCAUAUUAACACCAGCAACUUGGGUGCAUUUUAUUCAGAUUUAACAUGACGGACUAAAACUAGGUAAUGCAGAAUGGUGUAGUGGAAGGAAAAGGAUGCGCAUUUUUUUCUCCAAAGUUUUCAGAAAUAAAUAUUUAAGACGCUCGGCCUCCGUUUUGUAGACCAUGCCUUGUAUCCGUCUGUGUGUGGCAGCUCUUCUGAAACGGAUUUCGCUUCACAAUCCUCUAAAGGCUGCGGUUCUCUCCUGUCUCUGCCACGCUUAUUUCUUACACUCAGUUUUCUGUUAAUAUCAUGCUUGAAUAUAACAAGCAUACCGACAACCAGUGGCUUAUCCUGAAGGGAGUCCAUAACGGUCUUCUGGACAUCAGUCUUCCCCUUGAUCGUGUGGCCGGCUGACUCGGAGUGAAAAACUGUUUGAAAGUUCAGAAAACCUUAGCAGAUGUUUUGAGUCAAUUAGCUGAUUAGGUUGUGACCCCAUAAGUUCCAUUAAUGAUUCAUUUUCCAAGACACCAAACCUUGAGUUUUCAUUACCAGUAAACCAUAAUUCUCCAAUCAUUUUGACCACUCAAAGCACUUUACACUAGAGUCACCUGCACACAUUUAUAUGCCAAUAUGCAGUAUGAGGUUAGGUGCCUUGCCCAGGAGGAAGCUGGAAUCGAACCUGCAACCUUCCGAUCAUGAGACGACCCCAAUAACCUAUUCAUCUCUGAGUAGUGCUUUUCCUGCCCCGCCUACAGAUGCGACAUCAGGAAGCCUUCCUCAAGGCUUGGACGUGCUUAAUGAAGCAACCUCACAUGUGGAGAAGGCGCUUGUGUUCAUCUGCGACACCGGGGCCAUUAAAGCCACGUGAAGCGUCGGUACUCAUCCACUCCACCUCAAUCAGCUUCGAGGCCUUUUCAUUUAACAGCUUCAAGAGGGUUUCAUCUGGGGACGAGAGACAAAGGGUGAGCGGCAGUAAAUCAGCGGAGGACAAAGGAAUAAAACAAAGGCGCUCCCGCCAUGUGGGUCAAAGCAAAACUGAAGUCAAAGUUUUCUAACGUUUGUAAUGUAGGAGAAACUGGAGACUGAGAAAUCGGAAUAUUUGAAUUAAGGUCAUUUGCUCCAGUAAUUCGGUUCAAAAUGGGAAACUCGGACAUGAAAACGAUUAUUUAUAAGCGCCGAGCGAUACAUUUCAAACAGCUGUUUGUAUUAAGUUUGAUUAUGGUUUAAGGCUAAUAAAAAAUAAAAACUACAUCAGUCUCUCAUGUUAUUAUAAUGCUACAUAAGUAAAAAGUAUAUUUCGCUCCAGGAUUUCCUCGCACAAACCUACACCAUGGUGGUUCCACAGUUUCUCUUCCUGCAUAAGUUAUUGAUUUAUGCUCUUGUUUUUAUUGAUUUUAAUAUCAGUUUAAUUAGUAUAUAUAUUUAUAUGUUAUCAAUAAAGACCCAGGCUUUGAAAAAAGAGAAAGUUCACCCUCCAUGAGUUCCUGGGUUUUCUCUUUCACACAAAACGUAAAGAAAAGAUCCUCCAGUCUGUAGCUGGUUAAAAAA